AGUGAACGCUGGCGGUAGGCCUAACACAUGCAAGUCGAACGGCAGCACAGUAAGAGCUUGCUCUUACGGGUGGCGAGUGGCGGACGGGUGAGGAAUACAUCGGAAUCUACUUUUUCGUGGGGGAUAACGUAGGGAAACUUACGCUAAUACCGCAUACGACCUACGGGUGAAAGCAGGGGAUCUUCGGCCCUUGCGCGAUUGAAUGAGCCGAUGUCGGAUUAGCUAGUUGGCGGGGUAAAGGCCCACCAAGGCGACGAUCCGUAGCUGGUCUGAGAGGAUGAUCAGCCACACUGGAACUGAGACACGGUCCAGACUCCUACGGGAGGCAGCAGUGGGGAAUAUUGGACAAUGGGCGCAAGCCUGAUCCAGCCAUACCGCGUGGGUGAAGAAGGCCUUCGGGUUGUAAAGCCCUUUUGUUGGGAAAGAAAAGCAGCAGGUUAAUACCCCGCUGUUCGGACGGGACCCAAAGAAUAAGCACCGGCUAACUUCGU
rnacentral:rRNA from 1 species